GGGGCAGUAGCUCCGUGGUAGGGCUCCCGCCUCUUGCGCGGGAAGACCUGGGUUCGAUUCCCAGCUGCUUCC
rnacentral:tRNA from 1 species